GCUUGUAAUUGUUCAGCAAGGCCUUGUAGGGCAUCUUUAGUAUAAUUAAUGAACCUUUGCUGAUUGCAGUCAUUCUCAACUCAGCAGAAAAAAAACAAAACAAAAAACACUUAAUACUUUUGCAGACAGAUAUAUAGAAAAUGGAUGUUUAAGACAGAAUGGAACUUGGGCUUAUAGCAACUAUAUUAUUGCACAACCAGGACCUUGCGUCCUAUAUCUUUUAACCAUUUUCCUAUUCCAAAAGUCCAGUCAAAACCAGUCAUAUCCUCACGCAGUUCCUCAAAACAUGGGAAUCCAUCCUUGGCACACUCAACAUAUAUCAAAAACACACAUAGUACAUCCAUCCCUGGGUCAGCUAACACUUCCU